UACGGGGGGAGCAAGCGUUGUUCGGAUUUACUGGGCGUAAAGGGCGCGUAGGCGGUCAGCACAAGUCAGUUGUGAAAUCUCCGAGCUUAACUCGGAAAGGUCAACUGAUACUGUGCGACUAGAGUGCGGAAGGGGCAACUGGAAUUCUUGGUGUAGCGGUGAAAUGCGUAGAUAUCGAGAGGAACACCUGCGGCGAAGGCGGGUAGCUGGGCCGACACUGACGCUGAGGCGCGAAAGCCAGGGGAGCGAACGGG
rnacentral:rRNA from 1 species